UACGUAGGGUGCGAGCGUUAAUCGGAAUUACUGGGCGUAAAGGGUGCGCAGGCGGUUUAUUAAGUCAGAUGUGAAAUACCCGGGCUUAACCUGGGACUGGCAUUUGAGACUGAUAAGCUAGAGUGAGUCAGAGGGGGGUAGAAUUCCACGUGUAGCAGUGAAAUGCGUAGAGAUGUGGAGGAAUACCGAUGGCGAAGGCAGCCCCCUGGGAUAACACUGACGCUCAAGCACGAAAGCGUGGGGAGCAAACAGG
rnacentral:rRNA from 1 species